rnacentral:tRNA from 1 species
GGGGGCAUAGCUCAGUUGGGAGAGCAGUAGACUGAAGCACGAAGCACUUGUGUAUUCUAAAGGUCCCGCGUUCAAUCCGCGGUGCCCCCA